CGUCUAUAUACGUAUAGCAUAUCAAUAAGCGGAGGAAAAGAAACUAACAAGGAUUCCCUUAGUAACGGCGAGUGAAGCGGGAAGAGCUCAAAUUUGAAAUCUUCAAGGUUCUACCUUGACGAAUUGUAGUUUAUAGAAGUGUUUUCUGUUAGUAGAGUGGCAAAAGUUCUUUGGAAUAGGACAUCAUAGAGGGUGAGAAUCCCGUAUUUGGUCAUUCUUUCUAGCUUUGUGAUACACUUUCAACGAGUCGGAUUGUUUGGGAAUGCAGUCCAAAAUGGGUGGUAAAUUUCAUCUAAAGCUAAAUAUUGGCGAGAGACCGAUAGCGAACAAGUACCGUGAGGGAAAGAUGAAAAGAACUUUGAAAAGAGAGUUAAACAGUACGUGAAAUUGUCAAAAGGGAAGCGUUUGACACCAGUGUUGUUUUUCCGAAAAUCAAUUACGAAUGUUUUAGUUUUUGAGAAGUUAUGACUUCAUCGGCUUGCUUCUCUCUUUAUGAAACUUUCUUAAUGCACUUUUCGGUUAACAAGUCAACAUCAAUUUCUUUUGUUGUAAAAGGGUAUGAGGAAGGUGGCUUUCUUUUCGGAGAAAGUGUUUAUAGCCUUGUAGCCUCUGCAAUCGGAGAGAUUGAGGUCUGCAGCGUAGAUCCUUCGGGGUUAGAUACGUUUGUGCUAAGUUAUAGCUUUUCAUAGACAACUUGUUGACUAUGUUUAGUCUUGUAGCUUACUCGCUUACGCUAUUUUACCUACGCUUAGGAUGUUGAUAUGCAUGACUGAUAU
rnacentral:rRNA from 1 species